GGAAUCUUCCACAAUGGGCGCAAGCCUGAUGGAGCAACACCGCGUGAGUGAAGAAGGGUUUCGGCUCGUAAAGCUCUGUUGUUAGAGAAGAACGUGCGUGAGAGCAACUGUUCACGCAGUGACGGUAUCUAACCAGAAAGUCACGGCUAACUACGUGCCAGCAGCCGCGGUAAUACGUAGGUGGCAAGCGUUGUCCGGAUUUAUUGGGCGUAAAGGGAACGCAGGCGGUCUUUUAAGUCUGAUGUGAAAGCCUUCGGCUUAACCGGAGAAGUGCAUUGGAAACUGGAAGACUUGAGUGCAGAAGAGGAGAGUGGAACUCCAUGUGUAGCGGUGAAAUGCGUAGAUAUAUGGAAGAACAUCAGUGGCGGAAGCGGCUCUCUGGUCUGUAACUGACGCUGAGGUUCGAAAGCGUGGGGAGCGAACA
rnacentral:rRNA from 1 species